UGUGGAGACACAGGAAUCCUCAAAUAAGGACUACAGGAGAAAGAGCAGGCUUUUCCUUCGUAUUAGCUAACCGC
rnacentral:lncRNA from 1 species